rnacentral:lncRNA from 1 species
AGUUUGGGAGCCUGUUCUUCAUUUUUAAAAUCAGGUAAGUAACCUUUUAUAUGUAAGUAACAUUUAACACAAACGUGCUUCUCAAAAAAACUGCUGAAUUAAGUUGCCUUUUACUUCUACGUUAGCCCUCAUUAAGUUAGGGAGUCAGUGACCUCAAACAGGGUGAUGGGUAACUUUUCAAUCAUUUACAGCAUAUAAUUACCUGUCUUUCUGGGAAAACUAUUAUCUCUCUCUCUUUUUUUAACUGACUCUUGUUUUCCAUGAAGUAAUGCAAAAUAUCAAUUCUAUACACUAAAUUUGCUCAAGCCUGUUUUACCAAUUUGAGGUGAUACUGAUUCUAUGAAAUAGAGAAACAAAGAUGUGUUCAUCUAGCUUACAUUCUCAAAACGUUGAAUAACCAGUUACCACGUUCAUUACUGAGCUAACUUUUGCCUCUCAGAUGGAUGCUUCUGCUUUCACAUUCUUAGAGGUUGAUUUAGGGCAAAAACCAACAUUUUGAUUCUUAAAUAUGCAAAGCAUAGUAAAUAUUUCCAGCCUGUGUUAAACGGUGUUUUACUUGGGAUUAUAAAUACAGGGGGCAAGGAGAAAACACCCUCUUCAGUUCCUUGCUCUGAAGAAAGAGCUGGUGUGGACAUUACAUUUGGGGAUAAAUGAGGAACUGUCUCCCGAACAUGAGGUUUUAGAAUACUACCAAUAAAGAUCAUGAUUUUGGGUAAUCAGAGCAUUACCAAGUUGCU